UAGAGUUUGAUCAUGGCUCAGAUUGAACGCUGGCGGCAGGCCUAACACAUGCAAGUCGAGCGGUAGCACAGGAGAGCUUGCUCUCUGGGUGACGAGCGGCGGACGGGUGAGUAAUGUCUGGGAAACUGCCUGAUGGAGGGGGAUAACUACUGGAAACGGUAGCUAAUACCGCAUGACCUCGCAAGAGCAAAGUGGGGGACCUUCGGGCCUCACGCCAUCGGAUGUGCCCAGAUGGGAUUAGCUAGUAGGUGGGGUAAUGGCUCACCUAGGCGACGAUCCCUAGCUGGUCUGAGAGGAUGACCAGCCACACUGGAACUGAGACACGGUCCAGACUCCUACGGGAGGCAGCAGUGGGGAAUAUUGCACAAUGGGCGCAAGCCUGAUGCAGCCAUGCCGCGUGUGUGAAGAAGGCCUUAGGGUUGUAAAGCACUUUCAGCGAGGAGGAAGGGUUCAGUGUUAAUAGCACUGUACAUUGACGUACUCG
rnacentral:rRNA from 1 species